GAAAUGCGAUAAGUAAUGUGAAUUGCAGAAUUCAGUGAAUCAUCGAAUCUUUGAACGCACAUUGCGCCCGCCAGCACUCUGGCGGGCAUGCCUGUUCGAGCGUCAUUUCAACCCUCAGAACCCCUUGCGGGAUCUGGCGUUGGGGAUUGGCAUCCAGCCAGCCCCGAAAUCUAGUGGCGGUCCCUCCGCGACCUCCCCUGUGCAGUAGCGAUACCUCGCAGCGGGACAGCGGUCUGACCACGCCGUAAAACCCCCAACUUCUCAAGGUUGCCCUCGAAUCAGGUAGGAAUACCCGCUGAACUUAAGC
rnacentral:misc_RNA from 1 species